rnacentral:rRNA from 1 species
GUGGGGAAUAUUGGACAAUGGGCGAAAGCCUGAUCCAGCCAUGCCGCGUGUGUGAAGAAGGUCUUCGGAUUGUAAAGCACUUUAAGUUGGGAGGAAGGGCAGUAAGUUAAUACCUUGCUGUUUUGACGUUACCGACAGAAUAAGCACCGGCUAACUUCGUGCCAGCAGCCGCGGUAAUACGAAGGGUGCAAGCGUUAAUCGGAAUUACUGGGCGUAAAGCGCGCGUAGGUGGUUUUGUAAGUUGGAGGUGAAAACCCCGGGCUCAACCUGGGAACUGCCUCCAAAACUGCAUGACUAGAGUACGGUAGAGGGUAGUGGAAUUUCCUGUGUAGCGGUGAAAUGCGUAGAUAUAGGAAGGAACACCAGUGGCGAAGGCGACUACCUGGACUGAUACUGACACUGAGGUGCGAAAGCGUGGGGAGCAAACAGGAUUAGAUACCCCGGUAGUCC